CUUAMCAUGCAAGUCGAACGGUGAAGCCCCGCUUGCGGGGUGGAUCAGUGGCGAACGGGUGAGUAACACGUGAGCAACCUGCCCCUGACUCUGGGAUAAGCGCUGGAAACGGCGUCUAAUACUGGAUACGAGACGUGAUCGCAUGGUCAACGUUUGGAAAGAUUUUUCGGUUGGGGAUGGGCUCGCGGCCUAUCAGCUUGUUGGUGAGGUAAUGGCUCACCAAGGCGUCGACGGGUAGCCGGCCUGAGAGGGUGACCGGCCACACUGGGACUGARACACGGCCCAKACUCCUACGGGAGGCAGCAGUGGGGAAUAUUGCACAAUGGGCGCAAGCCUGAUGCAGCAACGCCGCGUGAGGGAUGACGGCCUUCGGGUUGUAAACCUCUUUUAGCAGGGAAGAAGCGAGAGUGACGGUACCUGCAGAAAAAGCACCGGCUAACUACGUGCCAGCAGCCGCGGUAAUACGUAGGGUGCAAGCGUUAUCCGGAAUUAUUGGGCGUAAAGAGCUCGUAGGCGGUUUGUCGCGUCUGCUGUGAAAUCUGGGGGCUCAACCCCCAGCCUGCAGUGGGUACGGGCAGACUAKAGUGCGGUAGGGGAGAUUGGAAUUCCUGGUGUAGCGGUGGAAUGCGCAGAUAUCAGGAGGAACACCGAUGGCGAAGGCAGAUCUCUGGGCCGUAACUGACGCUGAGGAGCGAAAGGGUGGGGAGCAAACAGGCUUAGAUACCCUGGUAGUCCACCCCGUAAACGUUGGGAACUAGUUGUGGGGUCCAUUCCACGGAUUCCGUGACGCAGCUAACGCAUUAAGUUCUCCGCCUGGGGAGUACGGCCGCAAGGCUAAAACUCAAAGGAAUUGACGGAGACCCGCACAAGCGGCGGAGCAUGCGGAUUAAUUCGAUGCAACGCGAAGAACCUUACCAAGGCUUGACAUAUACGAGAACGGGCCAGAAAUGGUCAACUCUUUGGACACUCGUAAACAGGUGGUGCAUGGUUGUCGUCAGCUCGUGUCGUGAGAUGUUGGGUUAAGUCCCGCAACGAGCGCAACCCUCGUUCUAUGUUGCCAGCACGUAAUGGUGGGAACUCAUGGGAUACUGCCGGGGUCAACUCGGAGGAAGGUGGGGAUGACGUCAAAUCAUCAUGCCCCUUAUGUCUUGGGCUUCMNCAUGCUACAAUGGCCGGUANAUGGGCUGCMAUACCGKGAGGUGGAACGAAUCCAAAAAGCCGGUCCCGKUUCGGA
rnacentral:rRNA from 1 species